GGUUAAGCGACUAAGCGUACACGGUGGAUGCCCUGGCAGUCAGAGGCGAUGAAGGACGUGCUAAUCUGCGAUAAGCGUCGGUGAGGUGAUAUGAACCGUUAUAACCGGCGAUUUCCGAAUGGGGAAACCCAGUGUGUUUCGACACACUAUCAUUAACUGAAUCCAUAGGUUAAUGAGGCGAACCGGGGGAACUGAAACAUCUAAGUACCCCGAGGAAAAGAAAUCAACCGAGAUUCCCCCAGUAGCGGCGAGCGAACGGGGAGGAGCCCAGAGCCUGAAUCAGUGUGUGUGUUAGUGGAAGCGUCUGGAAAGGCGCGCGAUACAGGGUGACAGCCCCGUACACAAAAAUGCACAUAUUGUGAGCUCGAUGAGUAGGGCGGGACACGUGGUAUCCUGUCUGAAUAUGGGGGGACCAUCCUCCAAGGCUAAAUACUCCUGACUGACCGAUAGUGAACCAGUACCGUGAGGGAAAGGCGAAAAGAACCCCGGCGAGGGGAGUGAAAAAGAACCUGAAACCGUGUACGUACAAGCAGUGGGAGCCUCUUAAUGGGGUGACUGCGUACCUUUUGUAUAAUGGGUCAGCGACUUAUAUUCUGUAGCAAGGUUAACCGAAUAGGGGAGCCGAAGGGAAACCGAGUCUUAACUGGGCGUUAAGUUGCAGGGUAUAGACCCGAAACCCGGUGAUCUAGCCAUGGGCAGGUUGAAGGUUGGGUAACACUAACUGGAGGACCGAACCGACUAAUGUUGAAAAAUUAGCGGAUGACUUGUGGCUGGGGGUGAAAGGCCAAUCAAACCGGGAGAUAGCUGGUUCUCCCCGAAAGCUAUUUAGGUAGCGCCUCGUGAAUUCAUCUCCGGGGGUAGAGCACUGUUUCGGCAAGGGGGUCAUCCCGACUUACCAACCCGAUGCAAACUGCGAAUACCGGAGAAUGUUAUCACGGGAGACACACGGCGGGUGCUAACGUCCGUCGUGAAGAGGGAAACAACCCAGACCGCCAGCUAAGGUCCCAAAGUCAUGGUUAAGUGGGAAACGAUGUGGGAAGGCCCAGACAGCCAGGAUGUUGGCUUAGAAGCAGCCAUCAUUUAAAGAAAGCGUAAUAGCUCACUGGUCGAGUCGGCCUGCGCGGAAGAUGUAACGGGGCUAAACCAUGCACCGAAGCUGCGGCAGC
rnacentral:rRNA from 1 species